rnacentral:rRNA from 1 species
UAGGGAAUCUUCCGCAAUGGACGCAAGUCUGACGGAGCAACGCCGCGUGAGUGAAGAAGGAUUUCGGUUCGUAAAACUCUGUUGUUAGAGAAGAACAGCGCAUAGAGUAACUGUUAUGCGUGUGACGGUAUCUAACCAGAAAGGGACGGCUAACUACGUGCCAGCAGCCGCGGUAAUACGUAGGUCCCGAGCGUUGUCCGGAUUUAUUGGGCGUAAAGCGAGCGCAGGCGGUUAGAAAAGUCUGAAGUGAAAGGCAGUGGCUCAACCAUUGUAGGCUUUGGAAACUGUUUAACUUGAGUGCAGAAGGGGAGAGUGGAAUUCCAUGUGUAGCGGUGAAAUGCGUAGAUAUAUGGAGGAACACCGGUGGCGAAAGCGGCUCUCUGGUCCGUAACUGACGCGGAGGCUCGAAAGCGUGGGGAGCGAACAGG